UCCCUGGUGGUCCAGUGGCUAAGACUCUGCGCUCCCAAUGCAGGGGGCCUGGUUCGAUCCCUGGACAAGGAG
rfam:TPA: Bos taurus chromosome 3, whole genome shotgun sequence.